CAAAGAUUAAGCCAUGCAUGUCUCAGUACAAGCCAAAUUAAGGUGAAACCGCGAAAGGCUCAUUAAAUCAGUUAUGGUUCCUUAGAUCGUACCCACAUUUACUUGGAUAACUGUGGUAAUUCUAGAGCUAAUACAUGCAAACAGAGCUCCGACCGGAGACGGAAGGAGCGCUUUUAUUAGAUCAAAACCAAUCGGUGGCGGGUCUCCCGUCACCGUACACCUUGGUGACUCUGAAUAACUUAUUGCUGAUCGCACGGUCUCGCACCGGCGACGCAUCUUUCAAAUGUCUGCCUUAUCAACUGUCGAUGGUAGGUUCUGCGCCUACCAUGGUUGUAACGGGUAACGGGGAAUCAGGGUUCGAUUCCGGAGAGGGAGCCUGAGAAACGGCUACCACAUCCAAGGAAGGCAGCAGGCGCGCAAAUUACCCACUCCCGGCACGGGGAGGUAGUGACGAAAAAUAACGAUACGGGACUCAUCCGAGGCCCCGUAAUCGGAAUGAGUACACUCUAAACCCUUUAACGAGGAUCAAUUGGAGGGCAAGUCUGGUGCCAGCAGCCGCGGUAAUUCCAGCUCCAAUAGCGUAUAUUAAAGUUGUUGCGGUUAAAAAGCUCGUAGUCGAAUUUGUGUCCCGCGCCGCCGGUUCAUCGCUCGCGGUGUUAACUGGCGUGUCCGCGGGACGUCCUGCCGGUGGGCUUAGCUCCCCGUGGGCGGCCCAAUCUCAAUCCCACCGCGGUGCUCUUCACUGAGUGUCGAGGUGGGCCGGCACGUUUACUUUGAACAAAUUAGAGUGCUUAAAGCAGGCUAAAACAUCGCCUGAAUACUGUGUGCAUGGAAUAAUGGAAUAGGACCUCGGUUCUAUUUUGUUGGUUUUCGGAACCCCGAGGUAAUGAUUAAUAGGAACGGAUGGGGGCAUUCGUAUUGCGACGUUAGAG
rnacentral:rRNA from 1 species